AGAAACGGUUGGGCGGAAGGGAAAAUAGUCCAAGGAGUGUGAGACCAGGAACUUGUAAGUCGUCGAUGAAGAAAGAAGGAAACAGUGAUAUUGACACUACCUUUGAGGCAGUACCUUUGAGAGUGGAUUCUUCCCACAGGGAGCUCUGGUAGCCCAACACAUGUUACACGUGUUUUCAGAAGCAAGUACGUCACACUGGGAGAUGUGUUUGGGAUACGCAUCUUUUGGGAUGUCAGCUCUCCGCACCCGAAGGUAUACACGUCAUUUGGUUAGUCUCAUUACCAUGUGAUAAAAGAGACAAAGAUGCCAAAUGCAGUUUACGGGAGAAUUACCAUUUUCCGUUCCGAAGUAACAGCACCCCCCAGCGUUUAAAUACCGAUUCCAUGUAGGGCGUUCAUUAACGCAGGGUUCUCAAGUAGGCAGGAGAAAUUAGUUAAUGGAUGUACGUGGAAAGCACAGGUCCGACUUGAUAGGGGAUUGACUGGUGACUGUGUGGUCCAUCGGAUAACGGUUCAUAUAACUGUACUUGAUAGGGUCUAGUGAGUACCGACAAACAAUAGUUGUUAUUGAUCGAUGGUGGUAUGUAAAUUGACAGCUUACUAUGCGCCUGGUGACUAGGCCCUCUGAUGCAGAGUGGUUUAAAUUACCUAUUCACGAUAUGUUUUGAUGACUAAUCAUGUUCAAUUCAAAUGCACCAGCCGGCGACUUUGGUCCAAACGGACAGCAUUGAUAGCAUGACUGGUUGUUUGUGGACACCGUGAUCAACUGUAUGGUCUAUCGUAAAGAUAACUGGUGAACAGGGUUCACUUAGAGGUCAUGGUUAAUAGCUGCGUAUGCUUUGAAAUAUAUGCGUUGCUUUGAUAACAACCCAGUCAAUAACCCAGCAAAACAUACCGUUUAAUAAUGGUCCAUUAUAAUAAUGACCAUAGAUCCAACAUGUAGUGUAUGUGACCUUUAAAUAAUAGAAAAUAUCAUUGGCAGUUAAUUUAUGCAUUUUAUGAAAAAAGGAAAUAUUGAUUCCAGAUAUUAUUAUGAAUGUUAUUAUUUUUCCUUUGAAAACGUAUCAGUAGUCAAUAGAUAUACAUGUACAUGUAUUUCCGUCAAAGAACCUUUUCAGAAUGUCAGCGCAUUUUGGAAAGAAAUCUACGCAUGAAAUUAUAAAUGCAAAAGUAUGAUCAUGAUUGUAUGCAGGUUUUUAUGCAUGUGCGGAAUACGUGUAAAAAGUA